UUUAUUGGAGAGUUUGAUCCUGGCUCAGGAUGAACGCUGGCGGCGUGCCUAAUACAUGCAAGUCGAGCGAAUGGAUUAAGAGCUUGCUCUUAUGAAGUUAGCGGCGGACGGGUGAGUAACACGUGGGUAACCUGCCCAUAAGACUGGGAUAACUCCGGGAAACCGGGGCUAAUACCGGAUAAUAUUUUGAACUGCAUGGUUCGAAAUUGAAAGGCGGCUUCGGCUGUCACUUAUGGAUGGACCCGCGUCGCAUUAGCUAGUUGGUGAGGUAACGGCUCACCAAGGCAACGAUGCGUAGCCGACCUGAGAGGGUGAUCGGCCACACUGGGACUGAGACACGGCCCAGACUCCUACGGGAGGCAGCAGUAGGGAAUCUUCCGCAAUGGACGAAAGUCUGACGGAGCAACGCCGCGUGAGUGAUGAAGGCUUUCGGGUCGUAAAACUCUGUUGUUAGGGAAGAACAAGUGCUAGUUGAAUAAGCUGGCACCUUGACGGUACCUAACCAGAAAGCCACGGCUAAC
rnacentral:rRNA from 1 species